CCGGGCAUUGCCUCGUACGGCGAGUGAAGCGGCAAAAGCUCAAAUUUGAAAUCUAGCACCUUCGGUGUUCGAGUUGUAAUUUGAAGAUGGUAACCUUGGGUUUGGCUCUUGUCUAUGUUCCUUGGAACAGGACGUCAUAGAGGGUGAGAAUCCCGUCUGAUGAGAUGCCCAUUCCUAUGUAAGGUGCUAUCGAAGAGUCGAGUUGUUUGGGAAUGCAGCUCUAAGUGGGUGGUAAAUUCCAUCUAAAGCUAAAUAUUGGCGAGAGACCGAUAGCGAACAAGUACAGUGAUGGAAAGAUGAAAAGAACUUUGAAAAGAGAGUGAAAAAGUACGUGAAAUUGUUGAAAGGGAAGGGCAUUAGAUCAGACUUGGUGUUUUACGAUUAUCUUCUCUUCUUGAGUUGUGCACUCGUAUUUCACUGGGCCAGCAUCGAUUCGGAUGGCAAGAUAAUGGCAGUUGAAUGUGGCUUCACUUCGGUGGAGUGUUAUAGCUUCUGCUGAUAUUGCCUGUCUGGAUCGAGGGCUGCGUCUUUUGACUAGGAUGCUGGCGUAAUGAUCUAAUGCCGCCCGUCUUGAA
rnacentral:rRNA from 1 species